rnacentral:snoRNA from 1 species
UUUUUUUUCCAGUUCAUAUUCAUGAUGAUUAGGUAUUCACAGGUUUGUGUGACAUGUUACAUACUCGGCACAUAAAACUCAUUACA